AAUCAACGCUGGCGGGCGUGCCUCAGACAUGCAAGUCGAACGAUUAAAGCUCUCUUCGGAGAGUGUAUAGAGUGGCGCACGGGUGAGUAACACGUAAGUAAUCUACCCUCGAGUGGGGAAUAACAACCGGAAACGGUUGCUAAUACCGCAUAAUGCAGCGGCACCGCAAGGUGACAGUUGUUAAAGAUUUAUCGCUUGAGGAGGAGCUUGCGGCAGAUUAGCUAGUUGGUAGGGUAACGGCUUACCAAGGCUACGAUCUGUAAACCGGUCUAAGAGGACGGUCGGUCACACUGACACUGAAUAACGGGUCAGACUCCUACGGGAGGCAGCAGUCGGGAAUUUUGGGCAAUGGCGAAAGCCUGACCCAGCAACGCCGCGU
rnacentral:rRNA from 1 species